CUCAAUUCGUAAACAGUUAGGCAGCAUUGUAGUGCAAAUUUGCCGGCUUCAAUUUGAGUUGUCGUUAAGAUGUAUAAAUACCGGCCCCCAGAUUCCGACUCGGACGACGGUUAUGACGGCUUUUAUUUUGGGGAUGAUGACAUAAAACCUACUCGCCCUGUCUGGAGGGUUGACAGUGAUCAAAACCUUUACGAUGCUGUGACCAACGGCGAUAUUGAAAUCAUAAAGGCUCAUUUGCGCCAGCCGUCUGCAGACAUCGAUCGACCACUGCGUGGCGGAAACACUCUUCUGCACCAUGCCUGCCAGCACGGUCACGUGGAAAUCGUGAAAUGCCUUCUUGAGAACGGAGCGGAUCCCAACCGGCAGGUAGAGUCCAUCACCCCUCUGAUGAGCGCCUGCUCAAGCGGCGCCGAUGGACCCGUCGUAGAGGAUAUCGUAAAGAUGCUAGUCGACAAAGGAGCGGUCGUGAACGUUUCCAACAAGCACGGCGUGACACCCUUCAUGUUCGCUUGCAUUCAUGGCCACUUGGAAGUGGUUGCAUUCCUCAUUCAAGCAGCGUUCUUGGAGGCAACCGACAACCAAGGCUGGACUGCUUUGUUCCACGCCAUCGAAAACAAUCAGCCAGAAGUGGUUAGCAUCCUUGUGAAAGCUGGAGCAGAUGUAAACGUGGCUAACCGAAAAGGCUACGCGCCACGGCAAGUCGCGCAGUUUCAUGGAUUCUACGACAUUCUUGAUAUUCUCCCGGCUGAAGAGCACCAAUAUACGGUUCCUACGAAUUACCUCUCGUACAGUUCGUUAAGUGACCACAUUCCAUGUUUGUUCCUAAAAACAGACGUCCCCGCAUAUUUCCCUGACAUUGACUCGAUUCUGCGUAACGCGCGCCUGCAGCGGUUCUUGGAGAACUUCGCAAAACAUAAAAUAAAUCUAAAUCAAUUCUUGACCAUGACGGACGACAAACUGAGCAAAAUUGAUAUUUCCUUGCCCCUCCAUCGUAAGCAAAUUCUAUUAGCGUUGCUGAGAUAUCAUCUGGAGCACUGGUCCACGCAGUCAAUAGCUCGAGUGAAGCGCAAGGAUCGAGACUCAUUCUACGACAUCCUCAUGAUAAUCUCGAACCACCUGAAAAACGUAGUGAUCAUCAGUUCGUCGCUCGAAUACAUACAGCAAAACAUUGAGACCAACAAGCUUGGGCCAAUAUCGUCAACGACAAUCAAGGAGUGCAAGGAGACGGUCGUGAAAUAUAAGAAAUCCAUUCGAAAACUACAAGAGGCGACAAAAUAUUUGCAUUCAUUCAGCCCGGAACGGCCUCCGCUCUAUAUAAAUUACGACGAGACAAUAAAAGCAGAAAAGAAGGCCAUGCUGCACCGCUAUUUCAAUUAUUCGCUGGCCAUUGGAGUUGCCAUUGUAGCUAUCUUGAAAUGGAAAAGGUUUCUCUAAGAUGCUCCACUUUUCAAAAGUCCACGCUGCACAGCACUCAAAAUGAGGAUAGCACUGAGGCCAUUUCAACCACUUUGUGAUCUACAUCGAUUUUUGAAAAGUGAAAAGGGUGGCAAUAAGUCGUGUUCACCGGCUUAUGAAUAUCCUUUCAUAUUAACAAUAA
rnacentral:misc_RNA from 1 species